rnacentral:piRNA from 1 species
UGCAGACUAUCUACCUGCAUUGGCUGUC